UUUGGUUAGUUUUGGCACAACUUGGGGAACCUCAAAUAUUCAUGCAAAGCAGCACAAUGCCAAGUGUUUAACAAAGUGGCUCCAGUGUUUUGCAGUAGCUCAUUUCCAUUUAUGUACACCCAUCUCUUAACACUGUCUGGUAGAUGUGGUCCCAGUGCCACUGGAACCUAAGUUAAACCUGGGCACUGUGCUAUGCUUAAUUGAAGAGCCCCAUUUUGUGUGCUAAUGGUGCUUUAUUGUACUUAUUAGUAGUACUUAUUAGUAUUGUGUGUGUACUGGUCACAACAGAAACCAAGGUCACGCUGAGUGCUGGUGCUGUGCUGACCUGUCAAGUAAGAGUGCACAAGCUCUAUUUUAACUGCAGGAUUUCAAUGCCUUUCUGCACAGCUAAAUCAUCUGCUCCAAGUACUCCAGUGUCUGCUAUCUUCUGUCUGCGUCUACUGCUAGCAUGAACUUGAGUGACUGAUCAGUAGAAUGAUUAAUGGUAGAGAGGGCCAGCAAGGACUAUUAAACACACGAGUCCAGAAUCAAACACUGGCUUAAGAAGCUUUCAACCACCGGUUGUCAAGAGACUAAAAGAGCGGAAGUAUCACUUUGUGGUUGCUUGCUACACGCUUUCCUUAACAAUUUUUGGGACUCUUGCCCCAUCUCCCAAGUGGAAGAGGAGUUGCAGUCCUUAUGGUCUCCGUGCAUGAUUCGUGAAUUUCCCAGAUGAUUCUCCUGAGUGACAGGAAUACUAAGGCACAGAAGGGUGAACUCAUUUGGACCAAGACUGAUCUGCAGGUCUCUAGUCCGGGCUCUUCACUAGGCUGUCACUCUCUGCAUGUGAGACAUUCUCAGAAUGACUAGGGGUAACACCCCGACCCUUUGUUCCCUCGCAGA